rnacentral:rRNA from 1 species
GACGAACGCUGGCGGCGUGCCUAAUACAUGCAAGUAGAACGCACAGUUUAUACCGUAGCUUGCUACACCAUAGACUGUGAGUUGCGAACGGGUGAGUAACGCGUAGGUAACCUGCCUGGUAGCGGGGGAUAACUAUUGGAAACGAUAGCUAAUACCGCCUAAUAUUAAUUAUUGCAUGAUAAUUAAUUGAAAGGUGCAAUUGCACCACUACCAGAUGGACCUGCGUUGUAUUAGCUAGUAGGUGAGGUAACGGCUCACCUAGGCGACGAUACAUAGCCGACCGGGGAGGGUGGUCGGCCAACCUGGGACUGGGACACGGCCCAGACGCCUACGGGAGGCAGCAGUAGGGAAUCUUCGGCAAGGGACGAAAGUCUGACCGAGCAACGCCGCGUGAGUGAAGAAGGUUGUCGGAUCGUAAAGCUCUGUUGUAAGAGAAGAACGGGUGUGAGAGUGGAAAGUUCACACUGUGACGGUAUCUUACCAGAAAGGGGCGGCUAACUACGUG